CCUACGGGAGGCAGCAGUGGGGAAUAUUGGGCAAUGGAGGAAACUCUGACCCAGCAACGCCGCGUGAAUGAUGAAGGUCUUCGGAUUGUAAAGUUCUUUUCUAAGGGAUGAAGAAAGUGACGGUACCUUAGGAAUAAGCCUCGGCUAACUACGUGCCAGCAGCCGCGGUAAUACGUAGGAGGCAAGCGUUAUCCGGAAUGACUGGGCGUAAAGGGUGCGUAGGUGGUUUGACAAGUUGGUAGCGUAAUUCCGAGGCUUAACCUCGGCGCUACUACCAAAACUGUUGGACUCGAGUGCAGGAGGGGUAAGUGGAAUUCCUAGUGUAGCGGUGGAAUGCGUAGAUAUUAGGAGGAACACCAGUGGCGAAGGCGAUUUGCUGGACUGUAACUGACACUGAGGCACGAAAGCGUGGGGAGCAAACAGGAUUAGAGACCCCUGUAGUC
rnacentral:rRNA from 1 species